CCAGGCCCCGCCUCCAGACCCCGGGCCCCGCCCCCUUCCUGGCCGCGCGGCUUGCCCCGCCUCCUCCGCCCACCGCCGGGGUCAAACUGGGUCCAUCGGCCCGGAGGGCGGGGAUGCUCGCUUUCGAUUGGCCUCAAAGGUGCCCGCCCCGCCUACUCCCCGCCCCUUCCUUGGCAGGGAAGAGGCGCGUGCGCCGUGGCUGGGGAGGGUAGCGGUUACGCUGAGCGCCGGCGUUGCUGGUCCCCGACCCCUGGUACCCGGGCAUCGUUUUUUCAUCCCGGGCAGCUGGGACCCCGGGAUGACCUAAGGAACAAGGAUUCAGACGCAGACUCCACGCCCACAGGUCGUGCUAGGAAGGAGACGGGACCAGAUAUUGACUGCUGGUUUAAAGUAUAUGCUAAUCCUACAGUCAUUCACUCAGCAACUCCUGAUGGCACCUGUUUUGCACCAGGCGCUGAGCUGAACCCUGGAAGCAGGAAGGAUUGCCAGAUAGUUGG
rnacentral:lncRNA from 1 species